rnacentral:rRNA from 1 species
CCUACGGGAGGCUGCAGUGAGGAAUAUUGGUCAAUGGGCGGAAGCCUGAACCAGCCAAGCAGCGUGCGGGAUGAAGGCCCUACGGGUUGUAAACUGCUUUUGCACGGGGAUAACAUCCUCCACUUGUGGCUGUCUGCAGGUACCGUGCGAACAAGGGCCGGCUAAUUCCGUGCCAGCAGCCGCGGUAAAACGGAGGGCCCGAGCGUUAUCCGGAUUCAUUGGGCUUAAAGGGAGCGUAGGCGGGCGUUUAAGUCAGCUGUAAAAUCCCGCGGCUCAACCGCGCCCGGCAGUGGAAACUGGAGGCCUUGGGUUCACAGCGGGCAGGCGAAAUUCGUGGUGUGGCGGUAAA